rnacentral:rRNA from 1 species
UACGGAGGGGGCUAGCGUUGUUCGGAAUUACUGGGCGUAAAGCGCACGUAGGCGGCUUUGUAAGUUAGAGGUGAAAGCCCGGGGCUCAACUCCGGAACUGCCUUUAAGACUGCAUCGCUAGAAUUGUGGAGAGGUGAGUGGAAUUCCGAGUGUAGAGGUGAAAUUCGUAGAUAUUGGGAAGAACACCGGUGGCGAAGGCGGCUCACUGGCUCGUUUCUGACGCUCAGGCGCGACAGCGUGGGGAUCAAACAGG